rnacentral:rRNA from 1 species
UACAGAGGGUGCAAGCGUUAAUCGGAAUCACUGGGCGUAAAGAGUGCGUAGGUGGUUAGAUAAGUUGAGUGUGAAAUCCCCGGGCUCAACCUGGGAAUUGCGCUCAAAACUGUCUAGCUAGAGUAUGGUAGGGGGAAGUGGAAUUUCCGGUGUAGCGGUGAAAUGCGUAGAUAUCGGAAGGAACAUCAGUGGCGAAGGCGACUUCCUGGACCAAUACUGACACUGAGGCACGAAAGCGUGGGGAGCAAACAGG